CAAAUAUGAUUGUUCAAUUUUUUAGGUAGGCUCAAAUAUGAUUGUUAAGACUUUGCAAUGCCAUUCUUCUUGUUCAAUUUCUAUAGCUGAACUCUUCUUCCUUCCCUCUGUACCAUUCUUCCACAAUCUCUCUCUCUUCCGACUUGCUCGCGGCCUUAGCACAAGACUCCUCUUCUUCAUCGGAAUCCUAAUCAUAAAAAAUGGAUCAUUUGCGGUUAUCAUUGACUUUCCCACCAUUGACUCCUCAAUGCCCUAAUCCAUCAAUUUUGAUGAAUCCACUUUUCCCCUUCCAUUCCAUUUUUACUACAAAAGACACCCUAGCUCUGCAACUCUCAAUGCAUUCAUCUCCUGAAAAAGCCCUAACUCUGCAACUCUUAACGUAUUUAUCUCCUAGUCUGAGAAAAUUUCGAGAAAAGAUGCCGAGAAGUUCAUCUUCACGAGCUCAGAAGCUUUUCUCUGGCUGUUUCGGGCCAGACACUUCAACGAUGGAAGUGAAUAAAUGUAAUAUGGAUUCGAGGAAAUGUGAGAUCUUCAUUUGCCAUUCCCCUUCUCUUGAGGUCCAAAAUGGCAUUGCAAAGGACCUUCUCUUACUCCUUCAGAAACUCAAUAUCUCCACUCUUUGCAGCAGAGAUUGUUCGAUCCCCAUUGAGGAGGUCAUUAAUGAGGCAACUGUUUGUAUAGUAAUUUUAACAAGGGAUUUUUCGAAUUACGCUCUUUGUCUUGAAGAGCUAGGCUGAUGCAUCAAAGCAAGGUUCAUAUGAUUCCAAUAUUUUAUGAUGUGAGGCCCUCAGAGGUUAGAAGAACAGAGAAGGGGAUCUUCAGGCCUGCUUUUGUGGGCGCUGCGAAAUAUACGCAAAAAGAAGAGUGGAAGUUUUUCUUGCAGAAGACAGGUUACCUCUCUGGUUGGAAAUUCAGUGAUUUUCGAUGGAAUUCAUGCAAACUCUUGAAGGCUGUGGUGCAAGAUGUGAUCAAAAUGGUGAAUGCCAAUGUAUUGGAAGUUGUAAAGCACCCAGUUGGCUUGGCUGAGAAAACAGAGAAACUCUAGAGGCUUUUAGAAGUUUGGCGUGAAGGUAGAGGUGCAAGGGUGGUUGGAUUGGUAGGAAUGGGUGGCAUAGGCAAAACAACACUGGCCAGAGAAUUCUUUAGUAUUAUGCGCUCACAGUUCAAGGCAUCUUGCUUUGUUGACGAUAUCAAGGAUAGAGUUGUGAGAGCUGGAUUGGAGAAAGUUCAAGGUUUUUACUGAAGGACUUACUUCAAAUAGACCAUCAAAUUCAGAGUAUUAAUCGGGGGAAAUUUCUUCUAAGAAAAUGUUUGGCUAGGGCAGAAGUCAUUAUAGUGCUCAAAAAUAUUGAUGACUUUGAUCAGCUUGAUGCAUUAUGGGUUCCUGAGGCUGUCCACUGCACUAGCAUAGUUUUAAUUACAACCAGAGAUAGACGACUGUUGAAUGUAUCCCAAAUGUGUUGAUAUAUGAUAUGGAUGGGCUUGAAAAGCAUCAUGCAAAGGAGCUUUUUUGCUGGCAUGCUGUUCUCAUGCCCCAACCUGCUCUUGGAUUUGAUGUCCUAGUUGAUAAGUUUGUCACUUACUGUAUUGGGUUGCCCCUCUCUCUGGAAACUCUUGGAGCUCAGGUUUUUGGAGAAACCAUUCCUAUGUGGGAGUGAAUACUACAAACAAUUGUUGAGAUUAUACCAGGAGAUAUUGAUAAGCAUCUUAGAGUCAGUUAUGAUGCUCUUGAUUGGUCAGAGAAGCAAAUAUUCUUGGAUAUUGCAUCUUUUUUUAUCGGUGAAAAUAAAGACAUGGCCAUCAGAGUUUGGGAUGCAUUUGAGUGGUGGGUCUGUUGGGGUUCAGUCUCUGCAACAGAAAAUGCCUUGUAAAAUUGGAGAAGAAUAAGUUUCGUAUAUAUGACCAACUCAGAGAUAUGGCUGCAAAAAUAUUAGAAGAGGAGGACUUCAACAAUCCUGGACGUCGCUCUUGCCUAUGGCGGCCCAAUGAUGUUAUUAAAGUCUUGGAUGAAGGAAGUGUUUGUUUCUUGCCCUGUUUUUGUAGUAGUUCUCCUUUUCAAAUUAAAGGGUUCCUGUUUGCAUGGAAGACACCUUGCAUUGGAAGAUGCAUUUGCAGCCAUGCAUCUACAUGCUUUCAGAUAUAUCUUUGACUAUCCCAAUACCCUGUUCAGGGACUUACCCUGAUAGUGAAUGCAGUUGAAGAUGACAGGAAUCAUUCUUUUGUUGUACCAAAAUCGAAAGUCAUAAGGAAAAAAGGAGGACCUUUGGUGUGGUCUCUAAGUUCAUUUGCUCGCAUGACAGAAUUACAGUUGCUGAUACUAGAAGAUGCUCGUGUUGAAGGUGAUUUUGGUUUCUCUCGAGGAAACUUGUGUGCUUUCAUUGGCGCCACUCCUCGAGUGAAUCUUUUUCGGUUGGAUUGCCUCUUACAAAUCUGCAUAUCUUGGACAUAUCAGGAGGAAAAAAUUUUCACUUGUGGAACGAUGACCAGGAGGUAGGUAAUUACCUUUUGCUCAUUUUAACAACAAUAGGCUAGAUGGAUAUCAAAAUUUUGAUCAAUAACAGAGUAGGUGUUAAGCAAGUAAUUAGUCUUGCCAAUAUCAUUCGCUGAAAUUCAUCUACUCUCAAGCAUAUUUCGUAUGUUAGGUCUAACUUUCUAGUUUUUUUACUAGACAGGCAAUUAACAGAUUCAUUUCUGCAGGACUUGUACUUGGCAGAGUUUUAUGUCAAUCUAAUUAUGCCAUUUUUUCCCGUGUCAGUUGUUUGGGCUGAUAAUUAUUCUGUGUCCUUGUUUUGUAGAUACCUGUACAAUUGCUGGAGCUGAAUUUGAGAGGUUGUGUUUAUCUUCAGGGCUUUCCAAGAUCCAUAAAAUUGUUGAUGAGACUUGAAAAACUAGUCUUGAGUCAUUGCCUUAACCUUGUCACAAUAUCUGAUGAAGUUUGUAAUAUUCCAGCUUUAAACUACUUGGAUCUCUCUGGUUGUGAAAAUAUGCAAGCUUUGCCAGAUAAUAUAGGCAAUUUGAGAAAUUUGCAAUAUCUGGAUUCAUUUGAUUGUGAAAGAUUAGACUAUUUGCCACCUACAAUCAGAGAUCUGUUGAAGUUGGAACACUUAGAUCUUAAAGAAUGUAGGGCCUUAUUAGAAAUCCCUGAAUCAUUCCAAAAUCUCCCAGAAAUCAGAUAUCUUGAUUUUGAACACUCUUGGAAAUUGCAGGUUGAGAAAGGUAUCAUUGGGGGAUUUCGAAAAUUAGAGGUUUGUCGGGCCAUCUCAGGCAAAACAUUCUACUUUCCUAGUGUCAUAUCCUGUCAAAGAUGCAUCAGAAAACUUUGGGUUUCUUGUUCUCAGUUCACUGAGCUCCCUGAUUAUUUUGGUGAGCUUACCAGUUUGGAGGAACUCAUUCUAUGGAAUGGGCAUGAACUGAGAGCAUUUCCUACAACUUUGUUUACAAAGUUGACUCAAUUGAAAAAACUUGCCAUUGGCUUUUCAAAUUGCUUGAGGAUUUGGGAAGUUCCAUUAAGCAUUUAAGGAAGUUUACAUCAUUUUCCAAUUUAUACUGUCGUGUACACCGUUUACCCAUGGAAAUGAGUGACUUAAAAAUAUGAAGUUUCUGUUUGUCCAUAACUGUUGAAAGCUUUUGAAGCUGCCUGUCAGCAAUCUUUUUGCUUUGGUCACCUUUCGCUAUCUGGCAUUCGAUUUAAAUUGGAUCCUGAGGCUUUCCCUGACCUUUCUGCACUAAAAAAGUUGUGCAUUAAUGAGUGUGUUAUUACUGAUGGUUUCUUAAAAUUCAUUUUUGAAUCCCUUGAGGAAUUGGAACUUGAAAAUCUAAGGCUAUCCAAUAUGCUUGGUAUUGAAAAGUAUCCUGCUAAUCUCUAAUCUGUAUCAAUAUUUUCCUUCUCAAACAUCAAGGAGUUGAGAUUGUUGGAGCAUUCAAGUCACUUCGAAUAAGGGACUGCCCAGGACUGAACAAGAUAGUUGCUUCUAAGUUCUCUAUGAACUUACAGACAUUGUAUUUGGGUCAUUGCAAGCAUCUAGUUGACGUUUGCUCCAUUGAAAAUCUGCAUGAUUUGGGAUAUCUAAAUUUCGAAGGUUGUUUUGAGCUGCAAUCCAUUGACAAUCUUGUGAAGCUGAACAAAUUGACAGAGCUUCAUUUGUUUUUGUCGGAUAAGAAUCUUGUGGAGGGCACCAAUCAAGAAAAGGAAAAGGUCCUUAUGAAAGGCACUGCUUGGUUACAGGUUAGUAUCACUGGGGGUGCUGCUUUUAGAUUUUUUAUAUGCUCUUAAUCCUAUGGAACUUGAAAGAGAGUUCUGGAAGAUCUUAUUGUUGUUACUUAUGGUUUCAAAGUUAUUGAGGUUUUCCUUCUUUCAGGUUUAUUCAUUUAGUAUCCUCUUUCUCUA